rnacentral:lncRNA from 1 species
GCCGCUGCGAUUGGCUGGCGGCGAUGGUGGGGCGUGUCCGUGGGCGGUGCGCGGCCGCCUGGCUGGCGGCCGUUGGCUGGAGGCGGCGGCGCCCGAGCUAGCGCCCCUUCCCGGCGCCUCCUCCUUAGCGCCUGCGGGACCCCGCCGCCCAUGGGCGCCCCGCCGCGCCAGCAGCACCCCGCUCCGCCCCCCGGCUUGCGCCGCCCGGGCCCCCGCCGGGCCCCGACACAGGCGACGUCCUGCAGCCGAUCGAGGCCCUCACCUACCAGAGCCUGGACGAGGCGUGGGCCAGAAAGCAUGCUCUGAAUUGCCAUCGGAUGAAGCCUGCUGUCUUCAGUGUGCUCUGUGAGAUCAAGGAAAAGACAGUUUAUAACUGGAGAAGUACUUUUGCCAAUGUGUGACAAGCAGCUGCAUUCGUCUUAAGCAAUACCUAAGAGGCACCGUGGCAUUCAGUUGUUUUGGAAAAGGAAAAGAUGAUAAAAAAAGAUUUGCAGAAAAGUUGAAAAAAUAGUACAGAGAGUUCUGCUGUAUCCUUCUCCCAGCUUCCUCUAAGGUCAACCACCUUCAGAACCACACUGCAAUGAUCGAAAUCAGGAAAUGAACCUCGUGCAGCACUGGACCUGAACAGGAAACUGGAGAGCUGUGGAUGCGCAGUCUGGGCACAUCUCAUUCUUUGCUCCGUCUGAUUCUGUAUGUACAUAUAUGACUGCAGCUGUCCAUCAGCUUCCGAACUCAGCAGUUUCAGGAGAAAAAGAAGGGAUUGAUACCUGCUACCACCAGAGCAGGCUGAGGUGUCCAUUUUAGCCACUCAGUCGCCCUGUCCCAUCCUCCCAGGGCGCAAGGGCCAUGCUUGGGGCUUCUGACUCGCCCCAGGCUGAGUCCCAAGGAGGCUGUGGGGCUCAGUGCACAAGCCACACACAUUACAUCUGGGCAUUGCUUCCGAAAGUCACGCUUCCUUUCCUCCAACUGACUCAAACAUCAGUGUGCAGGGUGUGGGUGCAUUUUGAGCUUGCACGUGCGGGGAUGGCCCCACAAGGGAAGAUUGCACGUCUCCUUCUUGAUUUAACUCACAUUUAUCACAUUUCCCCUCUGGCUAAAGUCUUCGGCAUGUCAUUAAAGACCAAACCUGCGCAGAGCAUUUGACCACCCCUCCCCCCCAGUGGCCAUUGUUGGAGCUCCAUGCUUCCCUGCAUUAACGCCCCAACCUUCCAGCGGCCUGGGAGCAGACGCUUACUCCUGUUUUACAGAUAAGCAGAGUGAAGCUCCAGAGAGAGACCAUCGCACCCCAUUAAGCCACAACCAAGUUGCACCCUGUCCUGGCUCAGGAAGGGAACCCUCCCUGUGCUUCACUGCCUGUGGCUCCCAUCCCACCCCCCACCCCGCAGGCUGUCUUUGAGUCCACUGCCCUCACUGCAUCCAUGAUGGCUCCUGGCCUCUGCCAUCUGUCUCCCUUAGCCAGUGCAAGGUCUAGGGUGUCCUGUGAUCUAGGACUGUCUUAGUUCCUUGCAUGCAGUGCAAGUCCCUCACGUUUUUGUUGAAUGAAGACUUUCUGCUGAUGAUACCUAUUAAGUGAAAUCCUUUUCAUCCUGUUCACUUUACGAGGUUCAGGAAGACUGAAUGUCUGGGGCCUGACUGAGAACACAAGGCUUAUUGUUCAUAUCAUUCUGAAAAGAAAGCCACUCGCCACGUAAACCCAGUGUUGGCAGAUGUUCCUGGAAGCACUGCCUCAUGAGUUCCAGGGUGAGUUGCCUUCCGAUGCUUCCUCCGGCCUGUGGGAGGGACACGAGUGCAUCUUCCAGGUCGGUGUGCAGGCAGGCGCUCCACCUGUGUUCUCUGCAGUGUCUGGGUGGUCCUGCCUAAGGCAGUCUAAGAAAGCCAAGGGCAUUCUAGGAGUGGCCCCUCCCUCCAAAAUCCUUCCCUUAAAACAGACGUCCUGGGGUGGGCCCCAUGGCACAGUGGUUAAGUUUGGCACACUCCGCUUCAGUGCCCAGAUCCCUGGCACAGACCUACACCACUCGUCAGCCAUACUGUCACUGUGACCCACAUAUAAAGCGAAGGAAGAUGGGCACAGAUGUUAGCUCAGGGCUAAACUUCCUCAAGCAAAAAGAGGAAGAUUGGCAAUAGAUGUCAGCUCAAGGCUAAUCUCCUCAGCAAAAAAAAAAAAAAAAAAAAAACCCGAAAAACAGCAGUCUUUCUUUGUAUCUAGAGGAGUUGUCCUGAGGAGUACAAAAUAAACCCUUUUCGGAGAGUUCUGAAUUUAGCUGGGAAGACCAAAUGCAUACUGGCCCCAUCCCUUUCCCGAAACCGUAGGGGCUAGGUGUAUUACAGGAUUCGGAAUUGUUUGGGUUUUAGCUACAUUAUGUUGAUGAGGACUGAGGCAGAGCCUGCAUUCAAACGAUGGCUUUUAGCACAGAGCAGGAACAUUCUUACACAGGCUCUGCCUCCAGAUGCACUUGCGUGCUAACUUGUACAAAAGCCUUUGGACCUUGGAUUGCGGGUGUGCAGGCAGUUUGGACCCUGUGUGCGCAGGAAGCCCCUUGAAGAGCCACUUGGUAUCAGGGCAGUUCACACAGAGGGACCUGCUUUGUCUUCUGGCUGUGACUGUCCCCCAAGCUGGUCUCAAGAGCACAUCUGUGCCUCAGUUUGGUUGGUUUUGGGGUCACUGUGUCACUGAGGAACGAGAAGUCCCAGCUCCACCAACCUUGCUCUCGGGCCAAGGAAACCUUGCUGUGCCACGGGGGAACCAAUGGCUGCCUUUCAGGGGAAAGAAUGUAAAUAAUUCAUAAUAUAAUAGGGAACACCUAUUAUUUACUGACCAGUGUUCACUGUCCCGGCUAGGAGCUGUCAGGCAAAAGUAAUCCGGCAGGUUUGUUUACCUUUGUUUCCCUUCCUCAUCAGCUAGUUAGGUCUGUUGCAAUUGCAAAAUCAUGAUCUGUAGGUCCAGCCUUCUGGUUGGGUCUGUCCCAGCAGUUACCCUUUGGGCCAGCGUGUGACUUCUGGAACUCGGAUCUCUUUUCUGACUGACUCUUCCCCAGGGCUGAGUCCCAUCUACCACAUUUCCUUAGGGCUGUGCUGGGAGUGGAUCUCCUAGAGCUGGGGAGCUAUUUCCCAGGUUGCCUGGAACGUCCUUUCCCGGCCCCGAGUCUCAGGGUGACUGGUGAAUUGAGCCUCCAAUCCUAACUGCUCCUGUGCAGCUGUAGACUGUGCGGAGCUUUGGUCCCUGCCACGCAGCCGCUGGUCUCCAUGGGGGCUAUUUACAUUUGAAAUAAUUGAAAUUAAAUAUAAUUAAAGCCACAUUUCAAGUGCUCAGUAGCUUCAUACAGCUGGUGACUCCUGUAUUAGACAGCAUAGGUCUAGAACAUUAAGAAAGUUCUGUUGAACAGACAGGUGGAUUAUUUUAAACAAACGUACAGGUCAAGCACUAUGAAAAAAACCCAACGUCCAUGAUGACUGGA